rnacentral:lncRNA from 1 species
UUGGCCAAUUUUCAUUAAAAAAAUUACAUCAUCAGAUUAUUUUUGUUUUAUUUAAGUCAAAUUAAUAUCAGAUUGAAAUAUUUUUUGCUCUGCAUCCUUGGAAGUGUGUUUGGUACAAACUCAGCUAUAUUUCGUAGUAUAAAAUCUUUCCUUUAUUCCAAAUAAGCUAUUUUUGGAAAGCAUGCGCGAAAUCACCGGACAUUGGAGGAACUCUCAGAACAGGGGUUUUCCUAAUUUUGGACACACAUUACACAAAAUCUAAAGGAUGAAACCAUACAAAC